UACCAAACUGAACAUCACCAGCUAGAAAAAUCCUUUAAACUGCAUACAUUUUACUUGCUGAAAAUAAAUCCAUGCUAAUGGGCACAAUAGCAUACACCUAAUGUAUCACAUAACCAGCUUAGUAUAAAAAUAAGUAUCUACAGAAUUCUAAUUCAUACAUGAUGCUACAGAAAAUGCUAAUUUGAGAAAUGUCUGAUGCCAGAUUACAACGUACUUGGAGGCUUUUUGCUUCAACAUGCACUAGACACAUGUGGAAAAUUCAGAACAAACUGACAAUAUGUUUGAUUUAUUUUUCAGGAACCUCUAGAGUUCUGUCAUCUUAUUACAAUUAAUUCCAGAUUCAGAAAGAGAUUAAUAUGGUGCAUGAGGAAAGAACUGGAUUCCAUGUCUGACUAACAUGUGACAUGAGAGGGACUAUUUCAUACAUCUAUUUGAGAAAACCGACUUUGGAAACAUAAUCCUGGAAAGCUGUCCUUCAGCAGCAGAUAUGUGCCUACUUUUGCUUUGCUGCCUGCCUACUUAUAUAUAUCCUCCCACUUCAUAAAAUAUGGAACAGUGACUGCAACCACUGGUGUCUGUCAAGAUUAUGUGAUUACACUAACUACCUAAUAAAUUUAUUUCUUUACAUAACA